UACGUAGGGGGCAAGCGUUGUCCGGAUUUACUGGGCGUAAAGAGCGUGUAGGCGGCCAAACAGGUCCGUUGUGAAAACUGGAGGCUCAACUUCCAGACGUCGACGGAAACCGUGUGGCUAGAGUCCGGAAGAGGAGAGUGGAAUUCCUGGUGUAGCGGUGAAAUGCGUAGAUAUCUGGAGGAACACCGGUGGCGAAGGCGGCCUGCUGGGCAGUUUAGCUGACACUGAGGCGCGACAGCGUGGGGAGCAAACAGG
rnacentral:rRNA from 1 species